rnacentral:lncRNA from 1 species
GCAUGCAUGAACCCAGUUCUUUGAAUCCUUGAACAUCCUUGCUACCAUAAGCACAAUCUCACAUUACAAUCUGUUUACAAAGCAUGCGUUUAAACAAAAUGACAACUUUUACCUUCCUUACCUUGGAAUCACUGGGCUGAACCACCCAAGCCUUCUUAAGCUCCAAUGAUGGCAUGUGGGAGGAAAUCCUCUUGGUUUUUCUCCAAUUCCUCUAAAAUCAAACAUUUCUCUAGCUUUUCUUCUUUUUCCUUUCUUCCUUUCUCUUUUCUUUUUUCAGAACCGAUUCUCUUUCUUUUCUCUCGAAGGUGUAGUUUUUCUCCCAAACCUUUUCCCUCACUUUUCAUUUCCUUAUUUAUUCCUCACUUUUCAUUGGACCUAAUCAUCCCCUACUCAAAUUUGAUGCACCAAUUUCCUCCCUUGCACAUUGGUCCAUUAUCUAUC